UUGGUUUUCAAUCUAGUUUCUUUAACAAAUACUUCUUCAUUUUUUAUGUAGUACUUGUCGUAUGUCAUAUCUGUUAACAUGUUAUUUAAUUCGUCUGGAUACGGAACGAUUUUAUAGAUUACUCCAAUUACUCAGGUAUGAUCCAAUUCAAGGACAUUGCCAGGUAGGGAGUUUGACUGGGGAGGCGGAGGUGUCCCAAGGCCAGCUCAGUGCGGACAGAAACCACACAUAGAGCAAAAGGGCACAUGCUGACUUGAUCUCGGUGUUCAGUACACACAGGGACAGCAAAAGCUCGGCCUAUCGA
rnacentral:ncRNA from 1 species